GGUUGAUUAGUCUAGUUGGUUUAUGACGUUCCCUUUACAUUCUGCUGCAUCGUCAAGGCUCUAUAGCCCUGAUUGCAUGGUGUAAAGCGGGAAAGGUCGUGGGUUCGACUCCCACAUCGAUCA
rnacentral:tRNA from 1 species